rnacentral:rRNA from 1 species
UACGUAUGGGGCAAGCGUUAUCCGGAUUUACUGGGUGUAAAGGGAGCGUAGACGGCCAUUCAAGCCAGAUGUGAAAGCCCGGGGCUCAACCCCGGGACUGCAUUUGGAACUGUAUGGCUGGAGUGUCGGAGAGGCAGGCGGAAUUCCUAGUGUAGCGGUGAAAUGCGUAGAUAUUAGGAGGAACACCAGUGGCGAAGGCGGCCUGCUGGACGAUGACUGACGUUGAGGCUCGAAAGCGUGGGGAGCAAACAGG